GUUACGACUCGAUCAUUCGACUGACUUGUUAAUUUUGAUUCCUUCAGUCACGACCGACCCACCUCUAUUACCUAUUCAUCUUGUACAGUAUUCACAAUUAGCUGUAUAAAAAAAUAUCCGCUCUCUGAAAGAAACGUAGAAGUUCCGAGUCACCAAUUGCCCGGUAUUUCUAUUUUGACUAGCAGAAGAAAGUUGCAUUGAUAUGUUCGAAAAAAAAAAAAUUGAAAAUAGAAAAAAAAAAAUUUCAGGAUGAAAACUUACUAGUUAUUUGGUGACUCAGAACUUCCACAUUUCUUAUAAAGAGUAGAUAUUUUUUUUUUAUACUGUAAAUUGUCAAUAGUGUACAAGAUGAAUGGAUAUAAUACAAAGAGGAAAGAUUUUAAUUACAUAAAGGUUGAUAUAAUUUCCAUGUUCAAAAAAUUAAUAGUACUUUGUUAAAUAUAUAAAACUAUAAUCCAACAGUUUCAAGUAGAGAAGAAUCUAUGGAAUAACAGCCAUUAUUAAUGUUUUUAUUUUGAUGUGAAGCAAA